rnacentral:rRNA from 1 species
UACAGAGACUGCAAGCGUUAUUCGGAUUCACUGGGCGUAAAGGGUGCGCAGGUGGCCAAGUGUGUUAGGCGUGAAAGCCCGGGGCUUAACCUCGGAAUUGCACCUAAAACUACAUGGCUAGAGCAUUGGAGAGGGGAGCAGAAUUCACGGUGUAGCAGUGAAAUGCGUAGAUAUCGUGAGGAAUACCAGAGGCGAAGGCGGCUCCCUGGACAAUUGCUGACACUCAGGCACGAAAGCGUGGGGAGCAAAAGGG